rnacentral:pre_miRNA from 1 species
AUCGUACUCCCACCAAUCCAUAUUACUUGUCUUAGAUUUGUCUAGAUACGGAUGAUGUGUGUAGACACGUUUUAGUGUUAGAUACAUGCGUAUCUAGACAAAUCUAAGACAAGUAGUAAUAUGGAUUGGAGGGAGUAUUAA